UACAGAGGUGGCAAGCGUUGUUCGGAAUUACUGGGCGUAAAAGGCGCGUAGGCGGUCUUUUAAGUCUUGUGUGAAAUCCCUCGGCUCAACUGAGGAACUGCACGGGAUACUGGAAGACUUGAGUUCGGGAGAGGGAAGCGGAAUUCCGGGUGUAGCGGUGAAAUGCGUAGAUAUCUGGAGGAACACCGGUGGCGAAGGCGGCGUCCUGGACCAACACUGACACUGAGGAGCGAAAGCCAGGGGAGCAAACGGG
rnacentral:rRNA from 1 species